AUAUCUUAUGAAUAAAGUAUAUUUUUCAAAAAAAAAUCUGUUCUUAUCAGUUUAAUAUCUGACACGUCCGAUAUCUGGGGGCCCAUAUAUUAAAUUGAUUUUUGGGGCAGGCAGAUGGAACAGGAUCUUGCUUUGUCCACUCCACACAUCGGCCUGGUAUUGCAGCAUCUUCAGGAAUGGUACAGUUUUG